rnacentral:sRNA from 1 species
CACGGGGUGCGGACCAGAAAGAACAGACGGUCAGUCGGGCGGGGAAGGAAGUUGCCGAGUUGCAGAGGCUGCCUACCACAAGGAAUUUAGCUUACUUUUUAAAGAUUGAAGAAAAAAAAGAAGACAGAAAAAGAAGAACUCAAAGAUACACAAAGUAAUUUGAACCAAGGCUCAGAAGUUUUUGGAGCCGUGAGGGAUACAGCAGUUUGGUCAAUAUUGUCUUAACA